CGGGAUAAAGGGCCUAAAAGGCCACAUUUCCAACGGUAUCAUCUAACUUUAAGUGCUAUUAUGGUUAAUUUUUUAAUGUUCAAAAUAUUUUUUUUAUAUUUUUUAUAUAUUUUUUGUGCCACAUAAAAAAUACAUCUACCAACCAAAUUUUAGAUAAACAUGAUUUUUUUUAAUCAAGAAUAAAAAAAUUAGCCAGUCCAAGUAACCGGUUAGCUGGUCAGUUCAACCGGCUUAAUCGGGCAAGUCC
rnacentral:lncRNA from 1 species